rnacentral:rRNA from 1 species
UACGUAGGGGGCAAGCGUUAUCCGGAUUUACUGGGUGUAAAGCGAGUGUAGACGGUGUUGCAAGUCCGAUGUGAAAUUCCGCGGCUCAACUGCGGGACUGCAUUGGAAACUGUAGCACUGGAGUGCCGGAGAGGUAAGUGGAAUUCCUAGUGUAGCGGUGAAAUGCGUAGAUAUUAGGAGGAACACCAGUGGCGAAGGCGGCUUACUGGACGGCAACUGACGUUGAGACUCGAAAGCGUGGGGAG